rnacentral:rRNA from 1 species
AACGCUAGCUACAGGCUUAACACAUGCAAGUCGAGGGGUAACAGGGGAGCUUGCUCCCGCUGACGACCGGCGAAUGGGUGAGUAACGCGUAUCCAACCUGGCAUCAGCCCGGGGAUAGCCUCUGGAAACGGAGAUUAAGACCCGAUACGUGCGGGGGCCGCAUGGCUCCUUCAUGAAACAGGCGGAUGAUGGGGAUGCGUCCGAUUAGCUUGCCGGCGGGGUAACGGCCCACCGGGGCGACGAUCGGUAGGGGUUCUGAGAGGAAGGUCCCCCACACUGGCACUGAGACACGGGCCAGACUCCUACGGGAGGCAGCAGUGAGGAAUAUUGGUCAAUGGGCGAGAGCCUGAACCAGCCAAGUAGCGUGCAGGAUGACGGCCCUAUGGGUUGUAAACUGCUUUUGUGCGGGGAUAAAAAGCGGGACGUGUCCCGCCUUGUAGGUACCGCAAGAAAAAGGACCGGCUAAUUCCGUGCCAGCAGCCGCGGUAAUACGGAAGGUCCGGGCGUUAUCCGGAUUUAUUGGGUUUAAAGGGAGCGCAGGCGGCCUUUUAAGCGUGUGGUGAAAUGUAGGCGCUCAACGUCUGCACUGCCACGCGAACUGGAGGGCUUGGGUGCGGUGAACGCUGGCGGAACUCGUGGUGUAGCGGUGAAAUGCAUAGAUAUCACGAAGAACUCCGAUUG